UAUCGGUUGGGUUACGGCACCCCGCUCACUCUUCUUGCGUCGCACCGCUUCCUCCCCUUCGUCGCCGGCUUCCUCUUCGUCACCCACGUCGCCGUCCCUCCAUGGCCCGCGUCGCCACCACUCCAUGGCUCGCAUCGCCUUCAACUCUACCCUCCUUCUCUCUCCCGACAUCUUCAUCUCUCUCUCUCCACCGCUGCCUUUCUUCCUGCAGGAAUCCCCUCUUUCUUUCGAGGUCAAAGGUCACAUAUUUAUGAGCUGGAUCUGUGGGUAACGACGAUGGUGGCAUCGGCGAGUCCGGUCGGGUACCAUUGAGCCUCUUCAUCGACCUGUCUGGGCUGGAGGCCGCCACCGCCGGAUUUUCCGACAGCAAUCUGCUCCACCGCGGUGGCUUCCCCCAUCUUUGAGGCAAGCAAGCACCUCGCAACCUCCUUUUCUCUGUGCGCUUCACUUCACCUAAAUUCACAGGGUGUGCUGGAGAGCGUGCACGAGAUUCCGGUGAAGAGUUUGUCCCUGGAAUCGCGGCAGGGAGCGCGCGAGUUCCUCGACGAGGUGCGGCUGCUGCUGAAGGUGCAUCAACGGAACCUAGUCUCCCUCGUCAGCUGCUGCACCUCCUCUCUUGCCCGGGCCGGACACAAGAUACGCGCUACCCAUACUUCCCAAACGGCAGGCUCAACGGCUCGACCACUUCCUCUUUGGUGAAUGAGACCCUCCGUCAGCUGAAUUCAUGCCACAUUGAAACCAAUCCAAUAGAUUUUUAGAGUUGAAAUUGCCACAAAACAUAGCUGAAAACCGAAAUCACCAAUAAGUUGUUUCGUUGCUGCUCAAAGUUCGGCCAAACCUAUGAAUCUUGCAUGCGACCAGUCUGAUUAUGAAUGUCUGAAUCACCCUGGGUUACAUACUCUGCUGAAGAUGUAUGUUGACACCAGUGACGUGUGCUAUAUUUUAAAUCAUCAGCCGGAGCUCCUGUCCUUCUUCAUAAUUGAGCUGAGCCUCACAUAGAUACAUGUCCCAUAUCUAAAUUUUGCUUGCUUGAUUUGCUUGAACAUGUUGUUUUAUCUCAUGUACGUCUGGCACAUCAGCUACUGGCGACACCGACAAGCUCAAGGACUUUGAGGCCCAUGUGCGCGCCGUCACCCGAUUCUGGCACCACAACAUCCUCCGCCUCCGAUGGACAACUGGACAUGAACUCAGUAAAUCAACAGUAAAUGCAGGAGCCAGAAUUGGAUGUGGUAAAUGCCAACUCGGUGAAAUCCUUCUUUAUAAUUUCAGUACUUUUAGAGAUGGGAUGUAUGUCAACUUGUUAAUAGGUGUAAAUCAUGCACUCUCCUACAGUGUGCUUGUCAACCAUGUAGUCACGCAGCAAAUCCGUCUUUAUCAUAUAUGACGGCUUACAGAUUUUAACUGUUUGUGGUAGAAGUAAUCAAGUGAUAUGAAGAUAAAUUAUUUCUAUUCCCUAUUUGAUUGACUCGACAUUGAACUAAUUGUACUGUUUUUGCUAGAAGUAAUGAAAUGUUUUAGUUUAAUUUGCUGCUACCACUUGGUUUGUUAGUUGCAAUCAACUCAAAAUGAACUGGUGAACAAGGAAAUUUCAACUGAUUUGGAUUUAUCCUGAACAAGGUACAAUCUUGGAGGCUAAACUGAAGUUUAAACUGAUUUGGAUUCAGUGUCUCAUCAAAUUUAAGUCAUGGAAACAUGACAUGUCACUGAAUUUAAACUUAUUUGGGUUCAUGAAGUGGAGUAUAUUGCUUGUUAACAAUGCUGAAACUUGCAUUGCUUGUUAUCAUGACCAUGAACUCCUCCAGAAGUUACUGGUACUGUUGAAUUAGGCUGCACAAUUACAGUUGUGGUCACAAUUUAGGCUGCACAAUUCAUAUAUUCAUUGUCUUUAGGAAUGUUCUCAUUGCCUUCCUUAGGAGGGCCAUUUUCUCCUUCCAGAGUUGAGGUCUGGCAGGACCAUUUCUUCUGACAAAUGAAUGUUGGGGCACCGGAGAAGUGUUGGGGCCGAGGACAAGCUGCUCCUGCUGAUGGGCAGGAGAGAAGUUGCUGCUGGCGUGGCGAGGAGGAGAAGCCGGUGAAUCUGGAGUACCAUAUUAAUGCGGUGGGUCACCAGUGUUGCAGGACCGGAGGAGAAACGAAGAAUCACAGCGAGGCUGCCGCCACCGCCACCGGCGCCACCGCCCGUUCCCCGCUGCCGUCGAGGGUCCAUGCCCUCAGCCCCGCCUCCACCGUUCCCUGCUCCCGCCCAUCCACUCUGGCCUGGGAAACCUCGGGCUCCAGCUGGUGAUCGAGUGCGUGGACGAUGAGGCGACCUGGGGCUCUGGAUGAUCGGGGUGGAGGAGUCGCUAGGUAUGCGCGGAUCUGGAAGAAGAAGACGCUCGGGGCGGAGCUGGAAGACGACGAUGAGAUCGCGAUUCAGAUGUACAGGGGCAGCGAUGUAAUUUUACACGUUUUUCACCUGGUCGGAAAAAAGCUAAAACGUCUUAUAUUUCUGAACGGAGGGAGUAUGUUACUAUUUCCAGUGAUCCAACAUGUUUGGGAUUAUGUUUA